AAAAAAAAGGGUCAGCAAGAGACGUGACAAUGCCUUAAAAGUGGUGUGUGAAACUUAAGGAUGAAAGUAACUCUUGCCUGUGUCACUGUAAAGUAACAUAGUCCAAUGAACCUUGGACUAUACACAGAAAGAACUGCUACAGUAUAAUGCAAAAUGUAACUGAAAGAAAUAUGCAAUAGAUGAACAGAAAUGACACUUGUGUAUACAAAGACAAUAAUGCCACUGAUACCACAGCAACUCAUGAUGGUCCCCUGGACAUUAACAAAGAUGGGACACAGUUCUUUAAUUGGCUGUGAUUACCUCGGACACCAAAGCAUGCUCUGCAAUGUACCCCCAUGGUGGGAGUUCUUGCGGUAGGGUAUUACAUUUCUCCACCAGCAUGGCUAAAAAUUGCUGGAAUUGCUGGAUGGUCAUUGGUGCAAGUGAAUGUGCUUUAAUACAUCUCCCCAAUGCAUUCCUCACAUGCUCAAAGCAAUUUAAGUCACAGAAAGGGGCAGGCCAGUCCCUCUCAUUCCAAGAGCUCUUCCACCUUUGUUGUUUGAUACAGUUGUGCAUUGUCAUCCAUAAAAAUGAAGUCUUGGUUGAAUACACUUCUGAAAAGACACACAUGAUCAUCAUUUCAUAUUUCUUUCAGUUACCUUCCGUAUUAUUCAGUAGGAGCUCCUUCUACAUAGGGUCCAAGUUUCAUCAAGAUACUUGGCAGUGACAUGUCAUGCGAAAGUCACUUUCAUCCUCAAGUUUUGUACAACAGUGCACAAGAUAUUUGAGAAAGGAAUAUAAAGAAUCACAGGAAAGCUGUUAUUCAGCAUUCUUUCUUAGGUACCUCCAAUGCAUAAAAGGAGAGAGAAACCUAGCUACUCGGCCUAAGUGAUGAAAAAACAAAAUGGAGGUGCAUACUGGUUUUAAAAAUCAUUACAAUUGGAAAAAGAUUGCAACACCCAAUACUGCAAUAAGUUUGCAUACAUUUCACAACUGGAGAAUGUUUAUGGACAGAAAUGCAGUUUUUUUUAAGUCUCUGUCCGAUAUUUCAACAACAUUUCUACAUUUAGUUUGGGUAUUCCCAUACUGAUUCAAAAGAUCUAAACUAAUUUAGAAAUUAUCCAGUUUCAGUUACAGUACUAGAAAUAAUGAGAAACAUGUGCAAAAACAGUAGGUAAUAAACAAAAGGAAAAGUGACAAAAAACAGCCUGAGAAAUUCAUCCUUCCACUAUAAAUUUGAGUGAAAAGUUAAUAGUGUUUCAGGCUCACAUGAACACUAAAUUAUUUGCUAAUCGACAACAUAAUUUCAUUAUUGAACCUCUGUCACACAGGUUUGGAUAACAGCAAUUGCCACAUCUGCAUUACAGACCACUACGGAAAGCAUUACAUUCCUUUUUUUGUGGACACUAGAGGAUUCUACAGCGGAAAAAGUGAGUAUCACCAUGUGGAAGAUAACACUUGACAUAAUCAGUGAUCACAGCCUACCAGACUUUUCUAAAGGAAUAGCCACAGUCCUCCCCAGACUCCUUUCCCCAGUUGCAUUAUUCCCAUACAUCACAUGGAACAAUUUCUGACAAGAGUAUUUGGAAAUCAUAGGUGGAAACAUCAGCAAAAAUGCAAGCGAGUGGUGCCUGGAAAUGAGGUCAAACACCUAAUAGUUAAAGCAACUGCUCGAUACGUGCAGAACAUUUACACUCUAAACGCAUGCUGCCACAAAUUUUCAGUUAUUACUGUGUUAUUUACUUCGCAGGUUCUGAAUAUCUGAACAGGAUGUGAUCAUAUUUCAUGUCGCUACAACUUCAUUGAUUUCAUCCUCUCUGAUCCAUUUGUUUAUUUCAGUGCAUUUAACUCAAUAUUUUUUUGGUAGUUUACAGUGGUAUUGCAUAUAGUUACCCAAAUUUCAUUUCAAUGCUUUCCUUUUAAUCUAAACAGUAGAUGCAAUAUAUCACACUACAGAUAUGAAAAUAUGACGUGUGAAACUGCAGAGAACGUAAUGCUCACAGAACAUCAUACUCACAAGAUGUCUUCUAGAAACAAAUGUAGAUACAGGUAGGGAAAAAAGAAAUCCUCAAAAUGUACAUACAGGUAGGGAAAAAAUCCUUAAAAUGUACAUACAGGUAGGAAAAAAAAAGAAAUCCUCAAAAUGUACAUAUUAACAUGUACGAGGGAGACACUGGAGAAGUAGUUCAUAAAAGCAACACAAUAUCUACUAAAAAUUAUUUUCAAUUUAUUUUCGUAAUAGUAAUUGGAAAAUGUGUUCCAAAUUUGACAACACAAAGGAACACAAAUCCAGUUCUUAGAGAUUAGUGGUGCUUGUACUCACAUUUGCAUGAUAAAGUUUCAUUCCAGCUUUUGCUUUAACAAUAAACCUGUAACAGUUCCAGCUGUAGUUGCAAAUAGCAUAUCUAUCACAUAUUUGCACCAUGUUAACUUUCCUUGCUACUUCCUAUUCAGUCUAUAACAAACAGGAUCAGCAUCCUUUCACAACUGCAUAUAAAAUCAACUAUUUACAUAAAAAAAUGCAAGGUUCAGUUGAACUUUAAGUGGGAGGACAAAUAGUGGAAAGAAGGAAGGAAGAUGAUGUUUGAACAUCACGUCAACCUCAAGGUCAAAGAGAUAGGACAAGCUCACACUCAACUAGGAUAAGGAAGGAAAUCAACUUUG